rnacentral:tRNA from 1 species
GCGACUGUAGCUCAGUUGGUUAGAGUGCGCGAAUGUGACUCGCGAGGCCGAGGGUUCAAGCCCCUCCAGCCGCCCCA